CAAAAGUGGUUGAUCAAUGCAGCAGUGCGUUGCUCGAUUGCAUGUGCCGAUGGUGCGUUCAGUGCGACAUAAGUGUUCAAGUGUUUCACAUUAGCACCUCCCAAACAAUAACGUAUCAAUAUCAUAUAUGUCCCUUUUUUAUUCAACAUUGGAAAUUGGAGAUAAAAUAGAUUACAUGCUGCUGUGCGGCACACGCAUCACAAAAACACAAAAAUAUAAAAUAGAACAUUACAAUAAGGCACCGGACUACAGCUGUAUAGUUUUGAACCUUAAAGAAGGAGUCGACCGGGAUUGGUGAGAAGAAUGUCGAGUUGGCCAGAAAAGCAUGACAUGAAUGUGAAGUAGGCAAACUGAUACAAGAAUCCUAAAUACAGGUGCUACAGACACCGAAUGUUCCAAGGACCUCCAGAGCAGUCUGACCAACUACCUGCGAUCUCUCUAGAGAACAGAGAAGUAAGGUACACCCAUAAUAGUAUACUUGAUGCACUAUAUCAGUGGUUCCCAAACUUUUUAUAGUCCCGUACCCCUUCAAACAUUCAACCUCCAGCUGCAUACCCCCUCUAGCACCAGCGUCAGUACACUCUCAAAUGUUGCUUUUUUGCCAUCAUUGUAAGCCUGCCACACACACACUAUACGAUACACUUAUUAAACAUAAGAAUGAGUGUGAAUUUGUGUCACAACGCGCCUCGUGGGAAGUGACAAAGUGCUCUUAUAGGACCAGGGCACAAAUAAUAAUAUAAUAAUAAUCAAUAAUUUUGCUCUUUAUUUAGCCAUCUUACAUAUAAAACCUUAUUUGUUCAUCAAAAAUUGUGAAUAACUCACCACGGGUUAAUGACAAGGGUGUGCUUGAAUGGCUGCACAUAACUCUGCAAUGUUGGGUUGUAUUGGAGAGAGUCUCUGUCUUAAAUCAUUUUCCACACACAGUCUGUGCCUGUAUUCAGUUUUCAUGCUAGUGAGGGCCGAGAAUCCACUCUCACAUAGGUACGUGGUUGCAAAGGGCAUCAGUGUCAUAACAACGCGAUUUGCCAAGGCAAGAAACUCAGCGCAGCCCUAUCCAGAAAUCUGGCAGUGGCUUCUGAUUAAAUAAAAUUUUCACAGAACCGCUUGUUGCAAUUUCGAUGAGGCUCUCUUGUUCAGAUAUCGGUAAGUGGACUGGAGGCAGGGCAUGAAAGGGAUAACGCAUCCAGUUGUUUGUGUCAUCCGUCUCGGGAAAGUACCUGCGUAAUUGCGCACCCAGCUCACUCAGGUGCUUCGCUAUAUCACAUUUGACAUUGUCCGUAAGCUUGAGUUCAUUUGCACACAAAAAAAUCAUACAAUGAUGGAAAGACCUGUGUGUUGUCAGAAAAGAGCUCCAACUUCUUAAUCAUAGCCUCAAUUGUGUCCCGCAUCAUUGAAUAUAGUUGUGGAGAGUCCCUGUAAUCCUAGAUUCAGAUCAUUCAGGCGAGAAAAAGCAUCACCCAGAUAGGCCAGUCGUGUGAGAAACUCGUCAUCAUGCAAGCGGUCAGACAAGUGAAAAUGAUGGUCAGUAAAGAAAACUUUAAGCUUCUCUCUCAAUUCAAAAAAACAUGUUUAUACUUUGCCCCUUGAUAACCAGUGCACUUCUGUAUGGUCGCUGACCAUAUCAUUGCACCAUGCAGAAAAUACCCGAGAGUUCAUGGGCCUUGCUUUAACAAAGUUAACAACUUUCACUGUAGUGUCCAAAACGUCUUUAAAGCUGUCAGGCAUUCCUUUGAAAGCAAGAGCCUCUCGGUGGAUGCCCACACGUUGCCACUCCACUAUGUCUCCCUGUCAUGGCUUUUGUACCAUCAGUACAGAUACCAACACAUCUGGACCACCAAAGUCCAUUUGAUGUCACAAGCUGUCCAGUACUUUAAAAAUAUCCUCUCAUGUUGUCCUGGUUUCCAGUGGUUUCCAGAAGAGGAUGUCUUCCUUAAUAAUUAACCCACCAUAAACGUAAUGGACAUAUACCAGGUGCUGUGCCAGGCCCGCCACGUCUGUUGACUCAUCCAGCUGUAACGCAUAGAAUUCACUGGCUUGUAUGCGAAGCAGUAAUUGUUUCAAAACAUCUGCCAUGUCACUGAUGCAGUGUUGUUGGAUGGCAUUGUCUGUAUAGUUUGUUUUGGCCUUUUCCCCCAGCAUUGUCUCAGCCACAUCCGCGGCAGCAGGAUGAGUUAAGUCCUCCACAAUAGUAUGGGGCUUGCCUGUCCUAGGCACUCUUUAGGUCACCAUAUAAGAUGCUUCUAGACCCAUCUUAUUAAUUUUAAGCAAUUGUUACACAGGCACUUAACUGAACAAUGUAAAGAUCUCCUCAAUUUAAGGUAAGGUUUUGCCCUUAUAUGAUCUAAAUUGAUAUUGUUUUAUGAUGAUACAUCUAUCUUUUCAUAUUUGUGCAAAUCUUUCUAAAAGAGAAAAUGGACACCAUUCAAUCUCUGUCACACCCUGAUCUGUUUCACCUGUCUUUGUGAUUGUCUCUAUCCCCCUCCAGAUGUUGCCCAUCUUCCCCAUCCAUUAUCCCCUGUGUAUUUAUACCUGUGUUCUCUGUUUUUGUCUUGUUUGUGAACAAGCGUUUUUGUUCUCAGCUCCUGCUUUUUCCAGUCUUUCCUUUUUCGCGCCCUCCUAGUUUUGACCCUUGCCUGUCCUGACUCUGAGCCCGCCUGUCUGCUCACUCUGCCUGCCCCUGACCCUGCCUGCCGUCCAUUCCCUUGGCCCCACCUCUGGUUUAAUGACCCCUGCCUGCCUUGACCUGUCUAUUGCCUGGCCCUGUUGGAAUAUUAAACCAUUGUCUAUUCGACGUGUCUGCAUCUGGGUCUUACCUUGAUUUCUGAUAGAUUUGAAUCAACAAAGAGGUAAGAAUAUGUAUGCUAUAAGAAUAUGUUAAAGGCUACUUGUAUUGGGUGCAGAUGACUGAACUGCUCACUUUUGUGUCUGUGUCAUUUACAUUACAUUUAAGUCAUUUAGCAGACGCUCUUAUCCAGAGCGACUUACAAGUACAUACAUUCAUACUUUUUUGUACUGGCCCCCCGUGGGAAUCGAACCCACAACCCUGGCGUUGCAAGCGCCAUGCUCUACCAACUGAGCUACACGGGACCGUGUCUGCAGGUAUACUGACGAGGAGGCAUACAAAGGUAUGCUAUGCAGAUCACAUGUACCAUCCUCCUCCCGUACCUCUUCAAAGAUAAUCCCAUAGGCCUCUACAUUAUGAACAAGGUAUGUGUAUGAAAACCAUUAUCAAAACAGUUUUUUUCAUUCACGUUUACCAUAAAAACAAAGGUAGGAAUACUGUCGUUGUCACGUUCCUGACCUGUUUCUGUUAGUUUUGUAUGUGUUAGUUGGUCAGGACGUGAGUUUGGGUGGGCAGUCUAUGUUUUCUGUUUCUAUGUUUGUUUAAGGGUUGCCUGGUAUGGCUCUCAAUUAGAGGCAGGUGUUUGGCGUUUCCUCUAAUUGAGAGUCAUAUUAAGGUAGGUGUUUUCACACUAUUUGUUGUGGGUGGUUGUCUCCUGUGUCUGUGUCUAUGUAUGUUGCGCCACACGGGACUGUUUUCGGUUUGUUUGGUUUUUUCGGUUUAUGUAGUCUGUUCCUGUUUCAUGCGUUCUUCGUUAUAUGUAAGUUCUUAUGUUCAGGUGCGUCUACGUCGUUUGUUGUUUUGUAGUUUGUUAAAGUGUUUUCGUGUUUUUUCGUCUUUACUUUAAUAAAUAUUAUGUCUUCAUACCUCGCUGCACAUUGGUCUUCCGAUCCCUCUCUCCUCGUCCGAGGAGGAGGAAGAGCUAGAGCACCGUUACAGUCGUGUGCAUGUUUUUUGUUAAAUACCUGUAUAAUUAAAAUAUUUUGGUUUCACAGACUUCACCCUCCCUACACCGCUGAAUAUAAAAGGAAGCCUUUUUGAUCACGGUGCACUGCAAAAUCAUUCUGGCUACGGAUACGGAGUACAUCAACACAUUAGCAUCAACAUGCCAGAGGAUAUACCCAUUGGACUUGGAGCUCUAGAUUUUUUUAUUCUGUUUUGCCACUGAAAUCAUAAUAAACACUGACAACUAAAAUAUUGUGUUAUUGUUAUUAUAAAUAAUAGGUAGUUAAAAUGUUUACCUCAAAAGGUUAUUCAAACGGUUCCUAAGAAUUUAUAGGGGUUCUGUUUCAAUUUGAAGAACCUCUAAAGGCUACUCCAGGAACCUUUUCUUUUUAGAGUGCAGUAUGCUGCAAAUACUGCAUCCAAAAAAAACUGCAGUUAUUGCACUUUUACUACAGUUUCAAAACGGCAUAUUUUUUGUAAUGAUUGAAGUGCAAAGACACCCACAUCAAACCACAACUCCAAGACAACUCUCAUUUGCCAGUCAUGGCCACUAGCAUUACUUAAUGAGCAUUGAUGGAAAAACGAUGACCAAUCAAGAAGCGCAGUCACCCUUUAAGGCUAGGGCUGAAAUCAAGGUUUUAUUGUUAACCUACAAAGCAUUGCAUGAACUUGCUUCUACUUAUCACUCUGAUUUGGUCCUGCCGUAUUUACCUACACGUACUCUACGGUCACAAGAUGCGGGCCUCCUUGUUGUUCCUAGAAUUUCUAAGUAAACAGCUGGAGGCAGGGCUUUCUCCUAUAGAGCAGAUUUUUCUGGAAAGGUUUACCGAUCCAUGUGAGAGAUGCUGACUCGGUCUCAUCCUACACAUUUUGCCAUUAUUUGCAGUUGAAGUCGGAGGUUUGCUUACACUUAGGUUGGAGUCAUUAAAACUAGUUUUUCAACCACUCCACAAACUUCUUGUUAACAAACUAUAGUUUUGGCAAUUUGGUUAAAAACUAGUCUACUUUGUGCAUGACACAAGCUAUUUUUCCAACAAUUGUUUACAGACAGAUUAUUUCACUUAUAAUUCACUGUAUCACAAUUCCAGUGGGUCAGAAGUUUACAUACACUAAGUUGACUGUGCCUUUAAACAGCUUGGAAAAUUCCAGAAAAUGAUGUCAUGGCUUUAGAACCUUCUGAUAAGCUAAUUGACAUCAUUUGAGUCAAUCGGAGGUGUACCUGUGGAUGUAUUUCAAGGCCACCUUCAAACUCAGUGUCUCUUUGCCUGACAUCAUGGGAAAAACAAAAGAAAUCAGCCAAGACCUCAGAAAAAAAAUUGUAGACCUCCACAAGUCUGGUUCAUCCUUGGGGGCAAUUUCCAAACGCCUGAAGGUACCACGUUCAUCUGUACAAACAAUAGUACACAAGUAUAAACACCAUGGGACCACACAGCCAUCAUACCGCUCAGGAAGGAGACGCGUUCUGUCUCCUAGAGAUGAACGUGCUUUGGUGCGAAAGGAGGAAAAAGGGGGAUGCUUGCAAGCUGAAGAACACCAUCCCAACCGUGAAGCACGGGGGUGGCAGCAUCAUGUUGUGGGUGUGCUUCGCUGCAGGAGGGACUGGUGCACUUCACAAAAUAGAUGGGCAGGAAAAUUAUAUGGAUAUAUUGAAGCAACAUCUCAAGACAUUAGUCAGGAAGUUAAAGCGUGGUCGCAAAUGGGUCUUCCAAAUGGACAUGACCCCAAGCAUACUUCCAAAGUUGUGGCAAAAUGGCUUAAGGACCACAAAGUCUAGGUUUUGGAGUGGCCACAAAGCCCUGACCUCAAUCCUAUAGAAAAUUUGUGGGCAGAACUGAAAAAGCGUGUGUGUGCAAGGAGGCCAACUAACCUGACUCAGUUGCACCAGCUCUGUCAGGAGGAAUGGGCCAAAAUUCACCCAACCUAUUGUGGGAAUCUUAUGGAUGACUACCCAAAACGUUUGACCCAAGUAAAACAAUUUAAAGGCAAUGCUACCAAAAUCUAAUUGAGUGUAUGUACAGUGGGCUCCAAAAUUACUGGCACCCCUGACUGGCAAUGCACAAACAAUACUUAAAAAUAUAUAAACAAUAUAAUUAUAGAGAAACUCAAAAUACCAACAUGUGAGAAAUACUGUACUUUAUUCAUGUUUCAAUGGAACCAACCAAAAUCAUUCAAUUAUUUAAUACAAAAUAAAUGUAACCAAAAUCAAGGUUUCAUAAUUAUUGGCACUCCUCAUUUAGUACUUAGUGCAACCACCUCUGGCAUGGCUAACAGCAUGGAGUCUAUUCCUGUAAUGUUUGACAAGGAUAACUUCUCUAGGAUAGGGGGCAGCAUUUUCACUUUUGGAUAAAUAGCAUGCCCAAUUUCAACUUCCUUCUACUCAUCCCCAGAAUAUAAGAUAUGCAUAUUAUUUGUAGAUUUGGAUAGAAAACACUCUGAAGUUUGUAAAACUGUUUGAAUCAUGCCUGUGAGUAUAACAGAACAUAUGUAGCAGGCAAAACCACGAGGACUAACCAUUCAGAUCUUUUUUCUUUGAGGUCACUGUCUGUUCAAUGAGCUUUCAUUGGGAUACUAGAUUUCUAAGGGACUUGUUUGCAGUUCCUACCGCUUCCACUGGAUGUCACCAGUCUUUGGAAAUUGGUUGAGGUUAUUCCUUUGUGCAAUGAAGAAGUACGGCCAUCUUGAAUUAGUGUAACGUUAUGUGUACUGUUUGAGAGUUGCGCAAGACUAGAAAAGUAGCGUUAGUUUGUUGUCCUCCUGUAUUGAAAACAGAUAGACCCGUCUUCAAUUUGAUCGAUUAUUAACGUUUAACCUGUUUGGCGUGCAAGCCCGACGUCGGUACAUUUAUGACAACAGCCAGCUCAAAGUGCAGGGCGCGAAAUUCAAAAGAUAUUUUUUUAAAUAUUUAACUUUCACACAUUAACAAGUCCAAUACAGCAUAUGAAAGGUACACAUCUUGUGAAUCCAGCCAACAUGUCCGAUUUUUAAAAUGUUUUACAGGGAAGACAAAAUAUGUAAAUCUAUUAGCUAACCACGUUAGCAAAAGACACCACUUUUUUUACUAUAACAGUUUAUUACUCCAUCAGUAGCUAUCACAAAUUCGACCAAAUAAAGAUAUAAAUAGCCACUAACCAAGAAACAACUUCAUCAGAUGACAGUCUGAUAACAUAUUUAUUGUAUAGCAUAUGUUUUGUUCGAAAAAUUUGCAUAUUUCAGGUAUAAAUCAUAGUUUACAUUUCAGCUACAAUCAGAAAUUGCACCGAAAGCAGCCAUAAUAUUUACAGACACCAACGUUAAAUACCUAAUUACUCAUCAUAAAACAUUUCUGAAAAAUACAUAGUGUACAGCAAUUGAAAGACAGGCAUCUUGUGAUUUCAGACAAUAUUUCCGAUUUAUUAAAUGUUUUACAGCGAAAACAAAAUGUAGCGUUAUAUUAGCGUAGCCACAAUAGCCAGAAACACUUGGGCGCCGACGACCAGUUCACAUGCACGACAGAUAUUAGAAAUAGCAUCAUAAAAUGUUUCUUACUUUUGGUGAUCUUCCGUCAGAAUGUUGGACAAGGUGUCCUUUGUCCAGAACAGUCGUUGUUUGGAUCUGGAACGGCAAAUUUCCCUCUUCAUUUAGCAUGGGCACUUGCCAAGUGGCACGGAUCUCUCCAAGUCAACAAAGUCAGAGAACGGAACACGGCAAAACUCCCGAAAAAUUUUCAAUAAUCUGAUUAAACUAUAUUGAAAAAACAUACUUUACAAUGAUAUGGUCACAUGUAUCAAAUAAAAUCAGAACCAGAGAUAGUAGUCGUCAAUAACGGCAGCUAAACAGAAGGCAAUCCCACUGUCCAACUGGCGCUGCCAAGAGUAACGGAAAUGAGGGACACGUCAUACAAAGAGCUUGUAUUCCAAUUCAGAACAAGAUGAACACAAAAUUUCUUCUCUCACAGCCUCUUGACAACCAGGGGAAGGUCUAUGAAGUGUACGUAGACUCUUACGUUUUAUGCCCAUGUAUAGGCAGGAAGUUGAACAGAGCAUCGAUUUCAGACAUUCCACUUCCUGGUCAGGAAAUGUGCUGCAGAAGGAGUUCUGUUUCACCCAGAGAAAUAAUUCAAACGGUUUUAGAAACUAGAGAGUGUUUUCUAUCCAAUAGUAAUAAUAAUAUGCAUAUUGUACGAGCAAGAAUUGAGGACGAGGCCGUUUGAAAUGGGCAUCUUUUAUCUGGCUACUCAAUACUGCCCCUUGCAGCCAUAAGAAGUUAAAAAUACCUAAAGUUGUAUUGCAAAAGUAGUUUGAAAUGUUUUGGCAAAGUUUACACGUAACUUUUGAUAUAUUUUGUAGUGACGUUGCGCAAAUUGGAAGCAGUUUUUUUCUGGAUCAAACGCUCCAAAUAAAUGGACAUUUUGGAUAUAUACGGACAGAAUUAAUUGAACAGAAGGACCAUUUGUAAUGUUUAUGGGACAUAUUGGAGUGCCAACAAAAGAAGCUCGUCAAAGGUAAGGCAUGAUUUAUAUUUUACUUCUGCGUUUUGUGUUGCGCCUGCAGGGUUGAAAUAUGCUACGCUCUCUUUGUUUACUGUUGUGCUAUCAUCAGAUAAUAGCAUCUUAUGCUUUCGCCAAAAAGCCUUUUUGAAAUCUGACAUGUUGGCUGGAUUCACAACGAGUGUAGCUUUAAUUUGGUAUCUUACAUGUGUGAUUUAAUGAAAGUUUGAUUUUUAUAUCAUUUUAUUUGAAUUUGGCGCUCCGCAUUUUCCCUGGCUUUUGGCCAAGUAGGAUGCAAUCGUCCCACCUAUCCCAGAGAGGUUUUAAGGAAUACUUUUGUAGGGAUUUUGGACCAUUCCUCUAUGCAGAUCCUUUCAAGAUCCUUCACAUUCUUGGGUUCGCGCUUAUCAACAGCCCUCUUCCACUCAGCCCACAGGUUUUCGAUUGGAUUGAGGUCCGGCGACUGAGAUGGCCAUGGCAGAACAUUGAUUUUGUUGUCACAGAACAAUUUCUGUGUGGAUCUUGAGGUAUGUUUCGGGGCAUUGUCUUGUUGGAAAGUCCACCUACGGCCAAGUCCCAGCCUUCUGGCAGAGGCAACCAGAUUGUCAGCCAAAAUUGCCUGAUACUUGGUAGAAUUCAUUAUGCCAUCAAUCUUAACCAGUGCCCCUGGACCUCUGGAAUUAAAACAGCCCCAGACAUCACUGACCCCACUCCAUAUUUCACCGUGGGUAUGAGGUGCCUCUCCUUGUAUGCAUCUCAGUUUCGACGCCAAACAUGCUGAUGCUGUAUCUGACCAAAACGUUCAAUUUUGGUCUCAUCUGACCAGAGCACCUUCUUCCAGUCAUAAUUUAAAUGACGUUUGGCAAACUCCAAGCGCCUGCGUCUGUGUCUUGGGGUCAGAAAGGGCUUUCUUCUGGCAACCCUUCAAAAGAGCCUGUGGAUGUGGAGGUGGCGUCUGAUGGUGCUUUUUGAAACUUGGUGUCCCCAAGACACCACCAAGGCCUGCAAUUCUUUCACAGUGAUUCUUUGGGAUUUUGUUGCUUCUCUCACCAUCCUCCUCCCUAUCCUGGGGGGCAAAAUUAAUUUGCGUCCUCUACCCUUGAGGUUUUCAACUGUUCCAUAUCUUUUGAAUUUUCUAAUAAUUGCCCUGACAGUGCUCAGUGGUAUAUUCAAUCGUUUGUGGACCUUCUUGUAGCCAUUACCAGAUUUAUGAAGGUCUAUGACCAUCUGUCUCUUUUGAACUGCUAGUUCUUUUGUUUUCUUCAUGGUGUUGGAUGACAAAGGGAUAUUGCAUGUGUGUUACCUCAUUUUUAUACCCUAGUGAAACAGGAAGUGAUGUAAUGGCUCACUAUAGUUCCUUAAGACUUAGAUACACUUAAAUAAGUGGAAUUUAAUUUGUGGUUUAAUUUUGGUAGAUGUUAUUUACAAUAAUCUUCAAGGGUGCCAUUAAUUGUGAAACCUUGAUUUGGAGGACAUUGAUUUUUAAUUAAAUCAAUAUAUUAUUUUGGUUGUUUCCAUUGAAACAUUAAUAAAGUACAGUAUUUCUCACAUGUUGGUAUUUUGAGUUUAUCUAUAUAAUUAUAUUGUUUAUAUUUGUUUAAGCAUUGUUUGUGCAUUGCCAGUCAGAGGUGCCAGUAAUUUUGGAGCCCACUGUAAACUUCUGACCCACUGGGAAUGUGAUGAAAUAAAUAAAUCAUUCUCUCUACUAUUAUUCUGACAUUUCACAGUCUUAAAAUAAAGUGGUGAUCCUAACUGACCUAAAACAGGGAAUUGUUACUCGGAUUAAAUGUCAUGAAUUGUGAAAAACUGAGUUUAAAUGUAUUUGGCUAAGGUGUAUGUAAACUUCUGACUUCAACUGUUUGACAGACUGACCAGGUGAAUCCAGGUGAAAGCUAUGAUUCCUUAUUGAUGUCACCUGUUAAAUCUGCAUCAAUCAGUGUAGAUGAAGGUGAGGUUAAGAAGGAUGUUUAAGCCUUGAGACAAUUGAGAAAUGGUUUGUGUAUAUGUGCAAUUCGGAGGUUGAAUGGGCAAGAUAAAAGAUUGAAGUUCCUUCUGUAAAACAACAUUGGAGGCAGCUUAUGGAGAGAAAUUAUCAUUGAAUUGUCUGGCAACAGCUAUAGUUGACAUUCCUGCAGUCAGCAUGCCAAUUUGCCACUCCCUCAACUUGAGACAUCUGUGGUAUUUAUUGCCCCCAGCACAAGGUGCACCUGUGUAAUGAUUAAGCUGUUUAAUCAGCUUCUUGAUAUAGCACAUCUGUCAGGUGGAUGGAUUAUCUUGGCAAAUGAGAAAUGCUCACUAACAAGGAUGUCAACAAAUUUGUGCACAACAUUUGAGAAAUAAGCUUUUUGUGCAUAUUUUUUGGGGAGCUUUAUUUAUCUAGGCAAUACAGUUAAGAACAAAUUUUUAUUUUCAAUGAUGGCCUAGGAACAGUGGGUUAACUGCCUUAUUCAGGGGCAGAACAACAGAUUUUUACAUUGUCAGCUCAGGGAUUCGAUCUUGCAACCUUUCAGUUACAAGUCCAACGCUCUAACCACUAGGCCACCUGCCGCCCCAUAUACAUGUGGAACACUUCUGGGAUUUUUUGUUUCAGCUCAUGAAACAUUAAAUGUUGCGUUUUAUAUUUUUGUUCAGUGUACUUUAAAUGCCCAUUUAUCAGCAGGAAAGUGAUGCUCAUGAGCUCCUAGUAUCUGUAAUAGGGUGGCAGGUAGCCUAGCGGUUAGCCUGUUGGGCCAGUAAGUAGCAAUUUAAGUUCAACAAAGGCUUUCUGUAAAGCAAAAAAAGUGCCUGGUCAACGGAAGUGGCAACAAAAUACACAAGUAUCGUCCACAUACAAUUGGCUGUUAGAAUUUCUUAUAGACAAAGCAAUAUUGUUUAUAUAGAUAGUAAAAAGUACAGGGCCCAAGAUUUACUCUUGGAGGACACCUUUAGUAAUAUCAAGGAAACCUUGAUAUUGAACCUUGAACCUUAACGCCAUCAGAAGAAACAUAUUGUGUCCGGUCUUUCAAGUAGUGUUCAAACCAAAUGCAGGCUGCCUGACCCCGGCCAAUUUCAGACAGUAUACACAUGAAUAAUGAAUGCUCAAAGGUGUCAAAAGCCUUCGACAGGUCUAUAAUGCUGCCUUUUUUUCAAUGCAAUUUACAAUGUCAUUUAACACCAAAGAAGCAGCAGAUUUGGUGCUUUGACCUGGCCUGAAACCAGACUGAUAGACACUUUGAAGCUGACAAGAUCUAAGCUGAGUGUUGUUUAAAGAGUCAAAGAUGUUCGCUAGGCAAGACAGUUUAGAGAACGGACGAUAAUUAUUCAUAUCAGAGGGGUCACCACAUUUGUGGAGAGGGAGCACAUGGGCAGGCUUCCAUAUCCUAGGGCUAGCACCCGAGAUAAAUGUCUGGUUAAAAAUGUGUCAAUAAUUCCACAAUUACAAGAAAAUAAAGGUGCAGCAAGAAAGGAUCACGCAAGUCAACCCCAGUGGAUUUUUUUCCCCCAUCAAUUACAGAUUCACUAACUCACUUCUUGCAAAUAAAAGGCCUGCAGAGAUAAAAUGUUGAUUCAUCUGUUUGGAAUCCCUAAUACAUGUAAUAGGACAGUGAUCAAUGAGAUCAUUAGAAAAGACACCACUGGACAAGUCCUUGUGGGAGCUGUUUGUCAGAAAUAGGUCAAUAAGUGAGCAGUUUGCUGGAUUUUUUUUGAACGUUAACCCAUGUGGGUUUUGAAAUCAGUUGAGUCAGGUUAAAGUCAAGACAAAUAUUCUUGAAAUGGUCUGAGGCCGGGGUAAACCAAUCUAAGUGAAGAAAUCCACCAAGACGACUAAUUCAGUUGACAGAAAAGGUUUGAAAUACUAGAAAUAGUGUGGAUCUUCUCCAGCAGUUCACGGAGAGCCUCCACAGUGUCUUCGUUAAUCUUUUCACUCACACUCCCCUUAACCCUCUCAAUCUCCCUCUACACCUCUCCUCCAGCCCUUUUGCUCCAAUGAAUAUGUGAAGGUUGAGGUGUGGGUGCUGAUUUGAGAAAUCCCAGGUUAGGUACUGGGAAGCAAAAAAAGUACCAUUAUCCUAUGAACAAUACCAAAGCUCUAUUCUGUUCGGUCCAGUUUAGUUUAGUCUGGACCAAUGGUUAUAAUAAAUGGUUCUUCAGAACAUGUUUAUUUUUGUCCACUUGUCAUUAGCUUGUGAUAUCAUGACAUGGACCUUGUCCCCUGUUGUUCUAUAAGAAGUCCUCGUCACAAGUGCGGUAAAUUCCUGUAUCGGUGUUGGUACAGAGAAAGAAUGUUGUUUCCAUGUAUUUACGUGUUCUGUUCUCUACUCCCCAGGGCUCUUGACCUCAGCGAAGCUCUAAGGCCACUUAAGUGAGGCUGCAGACAUGUUGUCUCCUGUAUAACAGGGUGUAUCCUCCUACUGAUGUGAACUCUGGUUAGCUUCAAUUAAUAAGGAGAUAGCAUGGAGCAUAUCUAAUGCUGCCUUCACAGCUCUACACUCCUGCCUCGUCCUCUGGAGACGAAGGAGACCUUUAAACGACCAACGGCUCUCUUGGAAGAGGCAGAUACUAUCUUUAAUCUUACCUGACUGAUGCGUGAAUGGAGACAAGCCAUAGAUACAGUAUACAUAAAUAAGUGAUUUUUAAGAUCGAAUAAAUAGUACUUUAUUAGUCCAGCUCUUAUGAGAUGGACAUUCUUCUUCUGCUCUGCGCCCCACAACACGUACAUAAUGGGAUGAAAUGUAUUGUCUGUUAUGAAUAUGUUUGAGUUCAACACCAACACAUUCUUUCGUCUGAGGAUAUUCCAACAUUUUGGCUACAGAAGGCACACAGUUGGAAAAUAGCUUCAAAACAUGUGUAAACAUAAAGCGGCCAUUUGAGAAACAGUCCUAAUGAAACAUCCAUACCAGGUGUAUGAAAACCCAGAUUUUUAGCUGUACGCUCUUAGAUACAUUACACGAAGAGGUUUGUGGGCCAAACUUUGUGUUCGUUUUCCAUUUCAAAACUUGAUAGAGACUGAUUUCCUUAAUGUAACAGAACCUAUGAAAGCUUGGGAUGCCUAUGUGGUGGACUUUUUCCAAACUAUACUUAAAAGACAAGCCUCUGUCUUGAUAAGGUACCAACAAGCUGAAAUGCCUCAGAGGCUAAACACACUGGGCACACACUGGUUGAAUCAAUGUUGUUUCCAUAUCAUUUCAACUAAAUUCUGUUGAACUCAUGUGAAAUAGGUGUUGAAUUAAAGUCUGUGCCCUCCAGUAAGGCUAUAACAUUCUGAUGAUGUCACAUAUUGCAGUAAAAUGAUUUGUAUCUUCUCUAAUAGCAAGGUAACAGUCUUGAAGGAAGCACUUUGCUUUCCUGAGUUGUAAAUACACUUACAGGGGUAGGCAUUUCUACCCGAAAAGAGAUGCCGGCUUUCAUUUGAUACAUUUUCUGAAAACGAUUGAUUAGGCGUAAAAUUAGAUGUGUUACGACAAAAGCUUUCACUCACACUGGCCCUCUCCAGGUAAGAUUGCCCACCUCUAGUUAAGUGUGACAUUUUCACAGAUCUUCCUAUACAAUAGGAAAUAGACUAUUUGUUAUGACACAGAUGUAAAUAUGUAUGUAAACUGUUGCGCCUAUGAUCCUUUUUACCCUCCUAGAAGAUAAGCGCAUUCCGUAAAGCGCAAUAGAAGUAAUAAGGUGCAAUGUAAUUGUUGCUCCGGUACCCCAGGCACAUGUUUGUCAUGUUCCAGAAUUGAUGUUUCAUAAAUCAUCUGUGUUACCCACUAGUUUAUAAACUCAGUCUGUCAGCUCGCAAUCUGUCGCUCCGGCCCACCGUCGCACAGCUUUUCAUUAGACAGGGUGGCAAAAGUAUGUCAAGGAGGAACCAGCAGCGGUGCUGUCAUUACCCAGACCAUGAACGUACAUCUGGCAGUCGUGUUGCUUUUGGAGAAAUAUUGCCCGUUGUCUUGUUAAAUGGAGGGCAUCUGUUGGCGACACCGGAGCGUUGCUCACAGAAACGGAAAUUAAACUAAGAUGUAUUUC